AGAGUUUGAUCCUGGCUCAGGAUGAACGCUAGCGAUAGGCUUAACACAUGCAAGUCGAGGGGCAGCAUGGUCUUAGCUUGCUAAGACUGAUGGCGACCGGCGCACGGGUGCGUAACGCGUAUGCAACUUGCCUCACAGAGGGGGAUAACCCGUCGAAAGACGGACUAAUACCGCGUACACUCCAGCUUGGGCAUCCAAGGUAGAGGAAAUGAAAUUCGCUGUGAGAUAGGCAUGCGUCCCAUUAGCUAGUUGGUGAGGUAACGGCUCACCAAGGCGACGAUGGGUAGGGGAACUGAGAGGUUGAACCCCCACACUGGUACUGAGACACGGACCAGACUCCUACGGGAGGCAGCAGUGAGGAAUAUUGGUCAAUGGGCGAGAGCCUGAACCAGCCAAGUCGCGUGAAGGAUGACUGUCUUAUGGAUUGUAAACUUCUUUUAUACGGGAAUAACAAGAGUCACGUGUGGCUCCCUGCAUGUACCGUAUGAAUAAGCAUCGGCUAACUCCGUGCCAGCAGCCGCGGUAAUACGGAGGAUGCGAGCGUUAUCCGGAUUUAUUGGGUUUAAAGGGUGCGUAGGCGGCCUGUUAAGUCAGCGGUGAAAUCUAGGAGCUUAACUCCUAAAUUGCCAUUGAUACUGGCGGGCUUGAGUGUAGAUGAGGUAGGCGGAAUGCGUGGUGUAGCGGUGGAAUGCAUAGAUAUCACGCAGAACUCCGAUUGCGAAGGCAGCUUACUAAGGUACAACUGACGCUGAAGCACGAAAGCGUGGGUAUCAAACAGGAUUAGAUACCCUGGUAGUCCACGCAGUAAACGAUGAUAACUGGGCGUAUGCGAUAUACAGUAUGCUCCUAAGCGAAAGCGUUAAGUUAUCCACCUGGGGAGUACGCCGGCAACGGUGAAACUCAAAGGAAUUGACGGGGGCCCG
rnacentral:rRNA from 1 species